UUCCGGCUGCGCGCGCAUCUCUCAGGUGUGGUGGGCAGGCCGGACCUAGAGUGCCGCUUUUAGCGUUUCAUCUCCGAGCAAACUCACAGGCGUCUUUAGAGCUUUCUCAGGCACUCAGUUAUUUGCUCCUCAGAACAGUUUCGGAGAGAGAAGAGGCAGAAAUCACUGUCACCUGAAGCAAAUGCCUCAGCUCUCCAUGGUUCGCCUGUAUUCUGCCGUCCCAUCGGCGAUGACGGCAUCCAGGGGAUAGCGCUUCUUGCGGAUGCUGCGCCCGGAGGAGAUGAGGUCGGCGUAGCCACGCUGGUGGGAGAAAGCGUAGGCCGAGCGCCGCCUGGACACGCCCCGGCGGAACACAUUCUGCCGCCGCUUCCACUGCUCUUCGGUUUUUAACUGCUUUCGGUGCUUCUGAAUCUACGGAAGCGAGAGAGAUGGGAAAAUACCAACCUGUAAAUUGGAAUGCAGAUGGAAAGAGAACAUGUAUUCCAGCACUAUGAAAGUCAAACAUGAUGCCAAAAUAAAGUGCAAUGCUUCCAAAAAUUGAAAAAGCAUUCACAAAAGUCCAAUAAGAAGUAUCCAAGCCAAUCUGUUGGGAAACCAGAGAAAAACAGAGCACUCAUUUAGGGGAGUUAGCAAGAAAUAAAGGAUCUAAGGAUUCUGAAAAUAGAAUUCAAUUUAAGCAUGGUAUGGCUUGAAUACUGAACAAUCAGAAGCUAUCUAUGGCUCAGGCAAGAAAUAGGAAAUAUGUUUGAUAUAAGGGAUGAAAAUAGCCUCCAUUCAUAUUUGCAAAGCAGCAGAGGCUCAGUUGGAGGAAGAAUGGGAGCCAGGCGGAUGUGCACGCUGGUCUACAUACAGAAAUGCAUACAGUACCAACAGGUACUGAAAACAGUCGACUAAAGCCACAUACCUGGAAAUUGACUGUUAUUAUAAGAGCAGAGGCAAUUGUGACAGCGAAAGAUUGGUAGUCUGAGGGCGCCUCUCCAUCCUGUCCCACAGUUUGCAGAUAAGCUCCAAGAGGUAUGAAGAAGAGGAUCAAUGAUGUUAAAACCCCGUGCAACAAGCUUACGAAGAAUCUCCUAUAGUUGAAUAGUAAGUCUCUUUGUCCCACCACGUAUAACCUGGGGAAGCGGAGGCUCAGUUUGUCACUCACAUCCUUAAGGGGAAAACACAAUUAGAGUUGAGUGCUGUCCAUCGGGAUCAAAGAACUCAGAGAUACGUCACAACCUCUAUCUCAAAAAGAGUUGCAACUUGUUAAGUUUUAGGAAGGCAAAAACUAAACAAGAUGAUAAAUCCUGAAUAAUUUCAUUGUGCAGAGAGCAACCUCGUUACUGUAGUGCACCAUUAUUUGAUAUUUAAUUCUGAGACUAGGUAAAGUAGUAUUAUUUUGCUACUUAAAGCAAAUCAGUAAUGUUUAAAAAAAAAGUGUAGGAAGCCUAUUUUUACUUUCUGAGAGAAUAUAUUUUUUCUGAUACUUUGGGAAAGCAUUUUCACAUACACAUUGAUGAGUUAAUUCCAAAUUAUUCUUUUCAUUCUUGAAAGCAGUUUCUAUAAAAAUUGCUACUAGAUAGAAUGCAGACUAAUUUGGAAAUUAAACCUGUAAGUUUGGGGAGGUAUUAAAAUAAUUUACUUUAAAGAUGUGUAAGUUGUUAUUGUAGAGACAUACUGUUAGGUAUCUAACAAGAAAAUUUUAGUGUCCAAA